rnacentral:tRNA from 1 species
UCCCUUGUGGCUCAGCGGGUAAAGAAUCUGCCUGCAACGCAGGAGAUCUGGGUUCGAUCCCUGGGUUGGGAA